GUGUCAGCAGCCGCGGUAAUACGGAGGGUGCGAGCGUUGUCCGGAAUCACUGGGCGUAAAGGGCGCGUAGGUGGCCGAGCAAGGUCGCGGUGAAAGCCCGGGGCUCAACCCCGGGUCGGCCGUGGCAACUACUGGGCUGGAGCACUGUAGGGGCGGGUGGAAUUCCGGGUGUAGCGGUGGAAUGCGUAGAGAUCCGGAAGAACACCGGUGGCGAAGGCGGCCCGCUGGGCAGUUGCUGACACUGAGGCGCGACAGCGUGGGGAGCAAACAGGAUUAGAAACCCCUGUAGUCC
rnacentral:rRNA from 1 species